rnacentral:rRNA from 1 species
CGCGAAUGGCUCAUUACAACAGCUUUAGUUUACAGGAUGAUGCUAUUUAAUGGAUAACUGUGGUAAUUCUAGAGCUAAUACAUGCACUUAUAUCCAACCCGCAAGGGAUGGAUGCAGUUAUUAGAAUAAAACCAAGCAGGCUUGCCUGCAACUUGGUGACUCUGAAUAACCCAGUGAUCGCACGGUCUUCGAACCGGCGACAUAUCCUUCAAAUGUCUGCCUUAUCAACUGUCGACUGUAGUUUAUGCGCCUACAGUGGUUGUAACGGGUAACGGAGAAUUAGGGUUCGACUCCGGAGAGGGAGCCUGAAAAACGGCUACCACAUCUAAGGAAGGCAGCAGGC